CUAUAUACCAUUUCAUAUCCAUCCCCUGCGUUUCCGCGUGACAUGCGUUGCUAUGUAGCCCAUCUCCAAUAUGCUGCUCCACUUCCGCACUUGAGGAUGCCUCCAUUUCUGCUCUUUUGCCAUGCGUGAAUCUGCCCAGCACUUGCUGGCAAGUGACCUAGCCUUUCCGCGUGGUACCCCUCUCUCUUUCAUGAAUUAGCACACUUCAUCUUCCAAAAAUGCCCUCUGCUCUCAUCCUUUCCA